UUUAUUCUAGUGAUAAGAGGAGGAGAAAAAACACAAGAAAUAGAGAAGUGGAUUUUGGAUGAUGGAUAUGAGGAAAGAAUAAAGGAAAGAGGCCUUUUAAUCCGAGGUUGGGCGCCGCAAGUACUGAUUUUAUCCCACUCUUCAAUAGGAGCAUUCUUAACGCACUGCGGUUGGAAUUCAACUCUAGAAGGUAUAUGUGCUGGCGUGCCAAUGAUCACAUGGCCUUUGUUUGCUGAGCAAUUUCUUAAUGAAAAAUUAGUAGUCCAGAUUUUGGGCGCAGGUGUAAGAGUUGGAGCUGAAGCUGUUGUAGACUCGAUCACCCAAGAAAGGCCCGGAAUGAAGGUGACGAAAGGCGAGGUUAAGGCUGCCAUUGACAUGGUAAUGGAUAAGGGAAUAAAAGGAUAUGAGAGAAGGGAAAAAGUAAAAGUGCUAAAAGAAAUGGCAAAGAAAUCAGUCGAAGAAGAUGGAUCGUCCUAUCUCAACACAACGCUGCUGAUUCAAGACAUUGAGCAGCUGGUGAAGACUUAUAAGCAAUCAACAUAAGAAUCUUUCAUACCUAGUUAUUGCACAUGAUGUGUUUUAAUGUCCUAGUCUUGUUGAUUAUAAAGUAAUGCAUUAUAAAGUAAUGCAUGUGUCAAGUUCAAGGUUGUAUUGGUGAGCUAUUCACUUAUAUCACACUCGCCUUAUCAUAAAAGAAAACCAAUUCUUGAAUCCCUUUUACGCUUGUGUCAUUGAAGUACUGCGGGGGAAAAAAGACCAAGAAGAACAGCAAAGUUUGAUCCAAUUUAUUGUAAUCGAUUAGUAUUUCGAACGUCAAGUACUUGACUUAUCAAUAGUUUACAGUUUACAGCAUGCGAGUUUUUUAUGUCCUGUUUGCUUUUGCAGUACAGGAAGAUCUAACACUGCUUGAAGCAUGAAAUGUACAAGUUUCAUAGCUGCAAUAUCUUAAUUGGAUUUGAUGAGAAUGAAAUUAUACUGACUGAGUUCAUACCUAGUUAUUGCACAUGAUGUGUUUUAAUGUCCUAGUCUUGUUGAUUAUAAAGUAAUGCAUGUGUCAAGUUCAAGGUUGUAUUGGUGAGCUAUUCACUUAUAUCACUCGCCUUAUCAUAAAAGAAAACCAAUUCUUGAAUCCCUUUUACGCUUGUGUCAUUGAAGUACUGCGGGGGAAAAAAGACCAAGAAGAACAGCAAAGUUUGAUCCAAUUUAUUGUAAUCGAUUAGUAUUUCGAACGUCAAGUACUUGACUUAUCAAUAGUUUACAGUUUACAGCAUGCGAGUUUUUUAUGUCCUGUUUGCUUUUGCAGUACAGGAAGAUCUAACACUGCUUGAAGCAUGAAAUGUACAAGUUUCAUAGCUGCAAUAUCUUAAUUGGAUUUGAUGAGAAUGAAAUUAUACUGACU
rnacentral:lncRNA from 1 species